rnacentral:rRNA from 1 species
CCUACGGGUGGCAGCAGUGAGGAAUAUUGGUCAAUGGUCGGGAGACUGAACCAGCCAAGCCGCGUGAGGGAUGAAGGUACAGAGUAUCGUAAACCUCUUUUGCCAGGGAACAAAGGCGGGGACCCGUCCCCGGAUGAGUGUACCUGAAGAAAAAGCAUCGGCGAACUCCGUGCCAGCAGCCGCGGUAAUACGGAGGAUGCGCGGGUUAUGCGGAUUUAUUGGGGUUAAAGGGUGCGCAGGCGGUCUGUUAAGUCAGCGGGCAAAGCCCCGGGCUCAACCCCGGCCCCGCCGUUGAAACUGGCAGUCUCGAGUUGGAGAGAAGUAUGCGGAAUGCGCGGUGUAGCGGUGAAAUGCAUGGAUAUCGCGCAGAACUCCGAUUGCGAAGGCAGCAUGCCGGCUCCACACUGACGCUGAGGCACGAAAGCGUGGGUAUCGAACAGGAUUAGAUACCCCAGUAGUC